AAUACAGAGUACUAAAGGAACAUGUGGAGCUUGGAAUCACAAUCAAAACCUUAAGUCCAAGGAUCUGGAAGUAAAAUUGUGUUCUCUUCUUGGAUAAAAUUCUGCCCGCCUUUUAAAGUCACAAUUUGUUUGGAAAUUGACAAGACGAUGAGCAGAGAAGCAAGUGUGGCUUCCUAGAAGAAGCUCUUCGUUGGACUUAAUGGAUUGUAUCGCUUACUUAGAUCUACACAUGGGCAGUGCAGCCCUUCUUGUUCUGUGGACCUGUGAGAUCCUUCAUUGGGAAUAGCAGUGGCACGAUGUGUGUGAACCUAACCAAGGUUUUCAAGAUGAACACGUGAAGGAGUUAACACCCAUUGAACUUCCCCCAACAUCCUGGGCACCGUGCCAAUGUGUUCACAUACUUUCUCUUACUUAAUCUUUACAACAGUCCUGUAAGGAUGAUGAUGAUGAAGAUGUGAACACUGUUGUAUAAAAGCCCGUGUCCCAGAUCCUGGCACACAGAGAGACCUGGAUUAACGUGGGCUGAAAUAUUAGCUGACUAUCCUCAGAUUGGUUCUAGAAGGUUGGAAGGAGACUGCUCUGGCAUCUCUUCUGUGGAGCCUCAUCUGUCAUCAGAUAUGCCUCACUGGUAGGGGCAGAGGAGGCCGCAGGAAGGCGAGCAAGGAUGGAGAAUGAGUAGCUAUUUAAGGAGGAAAAAAAAAAAAGAAGAAUGAAUACAGCCCUACAAGAUGACAGAGGAUUUGUCCAUGAGCUAUUAUUGAAUAAGAAAAGCAAGAUAAGCAAAGUCUCAUGUAUUGGAAGUUUUAGCCAGAGCUGUUGGCAAGGAGAACAAAUAAAAGCCAUCCACAUUGGAAAGAAGGAAGUAAAAUAAUCUCUGUUCUAAACAACAGAGGGAAAAUAGACUGGAAAAAAAAUGAGGAGCAGCUCUGGGACUUGUGAGUCUAUAACAAAAGAUCUAACAUUCAUGUCAUUGGAGUUCUGAGAGGAGAAGAGAACUGUCAGCACAAAGCCCUACACCCUGUGAAAAUCUCCACCAACUAACGUGAUACAGUUGACAUUUGGAGCACACUCAACACAACAACAGCAGAAUACACAUUCCUUUCAAGAGCCCACAAAACAUAUACAGAAUAUAUUCUGGGUUAUAAAACAAACUUCUGAAAAAUGAGAAUAGAAAUCAUAUGGAAUAUGUGCUCUUACCACAAUGGAAUCAAAGUAGAAAUUAAAGACAGAUAAGAGAAAAAUCUGCAAAUACUGGCAAACUAAACCACACACUUCUAGAUAAUCCAUGGGUCAAAGAAGAAAGGACUCUCAAGGGAAAUUUGGGGGAGAAAAAAAACAAACCAAAUGAACAAAAUACACAUUGAACUGAAUGGAAAUGCAACUUAUCAAAAUUUGUGGGGCAUGGCUAAAACAGUGUGAAAUGGAAAUUUAUAGUAUAAAUUAGAAAAUAGGAAAAGACUCAAAUUAAUCAUCUAAGCUCCCACCUCAAGAACCUAAGUCAGGGGCAGGGGGAGUGGGAAAGCAAAAUAAAUCCAAAGUAAAGCAUAAGGAAUUACAUAAGUUGCAUAAAUCAGUGAAAUUGAAAACAGAAAAAUUAUAGAGAAAAUAAAUGAAACAAAGAGCUAGUUCUUUGGAAAGAUCAAUAAAAUUGACAAACUUUUAGCAAGAUUGGCAAAAUGGAAAAAGAGAGACAGAAAGGAGAAGAUCCGAAUGAUCAAUAUUAGGAAUAAAACAGUGGUAAUAUUACUGACUUUGAAAAUAACCAGAAAAGAGUAAAGGAAAACUGUGAGCUCUACACAUACUUCUGACAACUUGGAUGAAAUGGACCAAUUAUUUGAAAAAUACUAAGGACCACAAUUCACUCAGUAGGAAGUAAUUUUAGCACCUUUAUAACUAUUGAGGAAAUUGAAUUUGUCAUUGAAAAACUAAAAAAGAAAAAAAAAAAUAACACCUCUAGGCCUAAAUGGCUUCAUUAAAGAACUUUACCAAACAUCUAAAGAAUUAACACCAGUUGUACACAGUAUCUUCCAGAAAACAGAAAAGGAAGGAACACUUUCCAGUUCGUUUUAUAAAAUAUACAUACUGCUAGAAGUUUUAGCCAGCACCAUAGAGCAAAGACAAAACAAAACAAAAUCCCCCAAACCAAAAACCCAAAGAAACAAAGAAAGGAAAAGUAGUGGUGGAGGAAUAAAAAGCAUACACACAGGCUACACGGAUUGCUAAUCACAAAUAAAUUCCUGGUAGGAAUGUAAAUGGCACAGACACUCUGAAAAACUAUUUGGCAGUUUCUUAAAAAAAUCUAAUAUGCCAAUCCCAUAUAAUCCAGCGCUCCUGGGCAAUUUUCCCAGAGAAAUGUAGACUUACAUUCACACAAAAACCUGUAGAUGAAUGUUUAUGGCAGCUUUCUUCAUAAUAGCUCUAAACUGGAAACAACCCAGCUGUCCUUCAACAGGUGAGUGGUUAGACAAAGUGUGGGAUCUCUCUACCAUGGAACGCGACCCAGCAAUAAAAAGACAUGAGUUCUGGUUUGUGAAACAAUGGGCAGGAGUCUCCAGAGCGUCCUACAGAGCGAGAAAACCCAUUCCCAAAGGUCACGCGCUGUUUCAUUCCACUUAUCUAACAUUUUCUCAACAACAAAAUGACAGAAAUGGAGAGCAGAUAGUGCUCGGCAGGGGCUGAGGAGUGGCUGGGGGCAGGAAGGAUCCUUCUGGUGGUCCAAGUGGUCUGUGUCUUGACUGUGCCUGUGUCCACAUCCCAGUUGUGACACUGGACUGUGUAUGGUUUUUUCCAGAUUUUCAAUGGGGGAAAACCGGGUGAAAGGGAGGCUGGAGAUCUCUCUGUGUUACUUCUUACAACUCCUAAGAAUCAUUUAAAAAAGAAAAAAAGAAGAAAAGUUCCAGAUCAAUUAGGAUACGUCAGUUGGUGCCAUAAAAAGGCCUGACAGCUGCUGCUUGACAACAAAUACGCAGACUGAUCUGACUGCCAGCAGAUGUCAUUUGUGCGGCCUGUUUGGUAAUUAUACCUCCUGGGUUCCAUAGUAAUUACAGUGGAACUCACACUAUAGUUCCCGUGCCGGAAAUCACCACAUUCCCUUAGUAAUUACUCAGGGCCAAACACCUUUGGCAGUGGAGGGUUUGCAAUUGAUAGCUGACAAACUGUCCAGAAAUAAAGAACUCAGCUCAAUUUGGAGGAAGGAUUGGGCAGCGGCCCGCACCCCUACCAGCCUCCCCUGACCAUUAGCGAGAUAUCUGGGAAAAGUGUGAAGAAUGUUCUAACCAUAAGUGUGUAACUUGUUUUCGAUAAGAAUGGACCCGAGAUAGUGCUUAAUUUUCCCAUUUAUUGCAACAACAACAAAAAUUAACUCAAGAGGGACCUGAUGGCAAUUCCUUGGCGUCUAGGCGUUGUCUUGUCUCACUUGUCUCCCCAAGUGGAAUCUUGGCAGGGACCCUUAGCAGCAUUCUUUGGGAGCAAGGCGCUGCUCACUUGUGUUGACUGUUCACUAAGUUCUGGAAACUCAUGGACUUUGUUCCCCCCAAAGGCUCGCCACACGGUGAUGUCCAUUUUCAGAAGAAAGAUGUGAGGUUCCGGGAGAGUAAAGCAACCUCCUUGAGGUCAUGAGUGGACUUCAUGAGAGCUGAAAUUUGAACUCAUCCACAAAAUUCCAUCUGUCUUUCUCUUGGUUUCUUUUCCUUUCUUUUCUUUUCUUUUCUUUUCUUUUCUUUUCUUUUCUUUUCUUUUCUUUUCUUUUCUUUUCUUUUCUUUUCUUCUUUUUUUGCCCCAUAGCAGCAGGUGGUUCCUGCAACUUCUCCAAGAUGCUGAUUCCAGAGCUUAGGCCACAAGCAGGGGCAGGAAGUGGAGAAAGGCCGGGCCCCAUAUUGUGGAAAGAACAUUGGAUCUCCAUCCCUGAAUCCUGGAUUAUCCCACUGCCUCCAGCUGAGAGGCUUUGCAUAAAGCCUUGCACUUUCUGUGAGCCUGGGUGUCUUCAUUUGUGAAAUAGUUAUGGUAACAAAUUAUAUAACAAGGGAAAAGGAUGUAGCACAGGGCUGGUCCUGUAGUUCAGUGGGGAUGGAUAUUGUGGCUGGAAGGAAUUCCUUGAGCCUAGGACAGGACAGAGCAGACUUUCUGGCUCUAGCUCAUCACCAGCCCCUGGUUCACAGCAGAUACUGGCUUCUUGGGGAUGCACUCUGGGUACAGGAGGCACAAGAACCUCCCCACUUCCUCUUUGGAGGCUGCAUUUGCAGGGCCUCACUGACUUCUCUAAGGUCUUGCCCACCCGUGUGCUACAAAGGGAAUCUUACUGACUCUAAUGUUCCCCGCUCCAGAAGCCUUCCAGAGCUGGGGUCCACCAGCCAUGUGCUCUCGUCUCUCUCAAGCCAAGCUCACGGGGCCAUCAUUGUCAUUGCCAGGUGCCUGUCUCCCCGUUGGAAAGCCAAUGCCUGGGGAGCAGUGUCCUGCUUCUGUGCUGUGUCUUAGAACUAAAUUAAUAAACGGUGAGUGCAUACAGGCCUCCAGGACUCUUCACCUCAGAAUGCCCAACGCUCAGUCCUCACCGUCCAGGCAGUGUUUGAUGUCAGAGGGAGAUGGGGCUCUGCGUGCAUAUGAGAGAGAGAGAGAGAGAGAGAGACGAGAUGGUUCCAGCCGUAGGCAUUUUGUGUUGAGCAAACAGGAACAUUUCCAGCAGAGCCGAUGCUAUCUUCUCACACCCGUUAAUUUUCAUACUGGGCAUCAGGUGUGCAUAAGGGACCUUUCACAGGAGAGACUUGAAGCCCUCUGGCUCCUGGGCUCACCCCCAUGCUCCCAUGUUGAUUAGCAUCUCUGUUAUUUCCUUCCCCAGAAGUAGAAUCACAGCAUGGCUCCUGGUUUGGG